UAAAAUUAAAAAAUUUGGCGGUAUUUUAGUCUUUUCAGAGGAACCUGUUCUAUAAUUGAUAAUCCACGAUUUAAUGUACUUGUUUUAAUAAAUUUAUAUAUCGUCGUAGCUUGAAUAUUUUAUAAGAAAUUUAAUAUUCGAGAUUUUUAUUAAAAAAUAAAUCAGAUCAAGGUGUAGUUUAUAAAUAAGAAGAAAUGGGUUACAAUUAAAAUAUUAAUGAAUUAAUUUAUAUAAUUAAAUUAUGAAAUUGGAUUUGAAAGUAAUUUUUUAUAAUUUUAAAAAAUGAUUUUAGCUCUAAAAUAUGUACAUAUUGCCCGUCACUUUUGUUUUAAGAUGAAAUAAGUCGUAACAAAGUAGAUUUACUGGAAAGUGAAUCUAGAAU
rnacentral:rRNA from 1 species